GAUGAACGCUGGCGGCGUGCCUAAUACAUGCAAGUCGAGCGAGCGGACGAGAAGCUUGCUUCUCUGAUGUUAGCGGCGGACGGGUGAGUAACACGUGGAUAACCUACCUAUAAGACUGGGAUAACUUCGGGAAACCGGAGCUAAUACCGGAUAAUAUUUUGAACCGCAUGGUUCAAAAGUGAAAGACGGUCUUGCUGUCACUUAUAGAUGGAUCCGCGCUGCAUUAGCUAGUUGGUAAGGUAACGGCUUACCAAGGCAACGAUGCAUAGCCGACCUGAGAGGGUGAUCGGCCACACUGGAACUGAGACACGGUCCAGACUCCUACGGGAGGCAGCAGUAGGGAAUCUUCCGCAAUGGGCGAAAGCCUGACGGAGCAACGCCGCGUGAGUGAUGAAGGUCUUCGGAUCGUAAAACUCUGUUAUUAGGGAAGAACAUAUGUGUAAGUAACUGUGCACAUCUUGACGGUACCUAAUCAGAAAGCCACGGCUAACUACGUGCCAGCAGCCGCGGUAAUACGUAGGUGGCAAGCGUUAUCCGGAAUUAUUGGGCGUAAAGCGCGCGUAGGCGGUUUUUUAAGUCUGAUGUGAAAGCCCACGGCUCAACCGUGGAGGGUCAUUGGAAACUGGAAAACUUGAGUGCAGAAGAGGAAAGUGGAAUUCCAUGUGUAGCGGUGAAAUGCGCAGAGAUAUGGAGGAACACCAGUGGCGAAGGCGACUUUCUGGUCUGUAACUGACGCUGAUGUGCGAAAGCGUGGGGAUCAAACAGGAUUAGAUACCCUGGUAGUCCACGCCGUAAACGAUGAGUGCUAAGUGUUAGGGGGUUUCCGCCCCUUAGUGCUGCAGCUAACGCAUUAAGCACUCCGCCUGGGGAGUACGACCGCAAGGUUGAAACUCAAAGGAAUUGACGGGGACCCGCACAAGCGGUGGAGCAUGUGGUUUAAUUCGAAGCAACGCGAAGAACCUUACCAAAUCUUGACAUCCUUUGACAACUCUAGAGAUAGAGCUUUCCCCUUCGGGGGACAAAGUGACAGGUGGUGCAUGGUUGUCGUCAGCUCGUGUCGUGAGAUGUUGGGUUAAGUCCCGCAACGAGCGCAACCCUUAAGCUUAGUUGCCAUCAUUAAGUUGGGCACUCUAAGUUGACUGCCGGUGACAAACCGGAGGAAGGUGGGGAUGACGUCAAAUCAUCAUGCCCCUUAUGAUUUGGGCUACACACGUGCUACAAUGGACAAUACAAAGGGCAGCGAAACCGCGAGGUCAAGCAAAUCCCAUAAAGUUGUUCUCAGUUCGGAUUGUAGUCUGCAACUCGACUACAUGAAGCUGGAAUCGCUAGUAAUCGUAGAUCAGCAUGCUACGGUGAAUACGUUCCCGGGUCU
rnacentral:rRNA from 1 species